rnacentral:rRNA from 1 species
UACAGAGGGGGCAAGCGUUGUUCGGAAUUACUGGGCGUAAAGGGCGCGUAGGCGGCCUGCUAAGUCGAACGUGAAAUCCCCGGGCUCAACCCGGGAACUGCGUCCGAGACUGGCGGGCUCGAAUUCGGGAGAGGGAUGCGGAAUUCCAGGUGUAGCGGUGAAAUGCGUAGAUAUCUGGAGGAACACCGGUGGCGAAGGCGGCAUCCUGGACCGAUAUUGACGCUGAUGCGCGAAAGCCAGGGGAGCAAACAGG